ensembl:snoRNA
CUGGCCCUGAAUCAAGGGUGGCAGCUUCCUGACGCUGUUGGUUUCAAGCAGGAGCCUAAAGAGAUGUCUUUCUAUGGUCUGUUGGUCAUUUCAGAACUUGGGCAGUGAAAUGGUCAACUCACUAGAAAGAAGCACCC